rnacentral:misc_RNA from 1 species
CACGACGUUGUAAAACGACGUUAUGCAUGAACGUUGGGUUACUCACGACGUUGUAAAAGGACGUUAUGCAUGAACGUAAUGCUCAUAACUUCCCUCUAGACCUAGCUUCUAUUGAAGUUCCAUCUACAACUGGAUAAUACUUUGGUCCUAGUCUAUAUGAGUUUUUGAAAGUAAGGGAGCAAUCACCUCUUGUUCUAUCAAGAGUGCAUUGCUCCUUUACUUUUCGUUUUUUUAUUACGACUAGAGUAGUCUUUGACUUACAGAUCGUUUUUUUGUUACAAGAAAAAGAUUUUUAUGCUUUGGUUCAUGAUUUCAUGAUGGAGUCUCCUUUUUUCUUUUUUUAUUCCUUUUUAAUUGAGAUACCUUUGUUUUGUGAAAUUUUUCUUUUCCAUUGAAAAGAAAAGAUAAAAUUUGCUUAAGACUUCAAAUUUAUAUUUCCGAAAUAAUAAAUAAAUAAUAAAUAAAUAUAAUAAAUAAAUAAUCAGAAAUUUUUGAAAUGGAAAUCUUAAAGGGCGGAUGUAGCCAAGUGGAAUAAGGCAGUGGAUUG